UACGGAGGGGGCUAGCGUUGUUCGGAAUUACUGGGCGUAAAGGGCGCGUAGGCGGCCCACUAAGUCAGACGUGAAAUCCCCCGGCUUAACCUGGGAACUGCGUCUGAUACUGGAGGGCUUGAGUAUGGGAGAGGGAUGUAGAAUUCCAGGUGUAGCGGUGAAAUGCGUAGAUAUCUGGAGGAAUACCGGUGGCGAAGGCGGCAUCCUGGACCAUUACUGACGCUGAGGCGCGAAAGCUAGGGGAGCAAACGGG
rnacentral:rRNA from 1 species